CCCUUUGGAUGGCAACGCACAACAGUGCGGUGGAUUUUUUCUCCUUUAAUAUCAGUUUGACUGCACUGGAGUCAACUGAGACAGCCUUUGGAUGUGUUGGCUGCCAGCACAGUGAGAGAUUUCUACUGCACUGGACAGCCUUGGGCUGACUGGUGGAUAAAGCAGCAGUUAGGACAAGCUGGGGCAAUAGACAUAUUUAGGAGACAAUAAUACCAUUACUUUAAUUUAUUAAUUUACCAUUUUAUCCUUAGAUGUUAAACUAAUUUCUUUCCCAAUCUUAUUUGUUUUCAGAUUUGGGAACAAAACAGCAGAAAUCUCCCCUCGUUCUUGCUGGUUUCUCCCUUGUUUACUGGGGAAGUCUACAUUUGGACGGUUGGUUAGAAAGUGUUAUUCUUCCUUCAAGGUGAGUGGUUUGCUAUCACUCACUGUUAUUAUUGUUGUUAUUGUUAUUGCUUUUCUUUUGAGUAGUCUGGUUCUAAAUGAUAUAUUGACCUUAUCCCAUAGGUAGCAACAUUUUAUCUUUUGAUCUUUGGACCUAUAAUUUAGCAUGGUUUACAGUAA